CCCGGAGUACUAGUACGGCGGUGAGUGACAGUCCAGCUCCACGGUAGCUGCUCUCCACUCCACGCACACACGCGCAGAGCCGCGCAGGGCAGAGCCGCGGGACCGUCGGGCGGACGGAGAGGCGCACAGCGUGCAGCAGCGUGGCCCGCGCACCGGACCGGAUUCAAGCGCGCAGACGGCGGCGGUAGUAGUAGCAGCGGGGAACAGGGGGAGCUCCGCGCCGCGCUGCCACGCAUGUGCUCGCGUCGGAAACUUGCGCCGGCGACAAACACGCAGAAGAAAACGCGAGCUGAUCAAUAAACCCCGGCGCGGCUGUGACCCGAGACCCGCAGCGGCGGGGGCGCACGCCGACCCCUGCCUCCCGUCCCACAUGCCCGCGUCGAUGCGGGGGAGAGGGAGGGGACUGGACGCGGGGCACGCGUGAAUCGGCUCGCCGGACUUAGGUGCGACUGCGGGACCCCGAAGAAGUUGCGUUCGCCGCUCGGGGUCAUGGAGAGCCACGCGGGCGAGCCGCACUGCUGCGAGGACGUGCGCAAGAGCGGAUACCUCCGCAAGCACAAGUCCAUGCACCGGCGCUACUUCGUGCUCCGCGCCGCCUCGGAGCGCGGCCCGGCCCGCCUGGAGUACUACGAGAGCGAGAAGAAAUUCCGCGGCAAGGCCCCCGCGCCGAAGAAAGCGGUGGCGCUCGAGACGUGCUUCAACAUCAACAAGCGGGCCGACGCCAAGAACAAGCACAUGAUCGUGCUCUACACCCGCGCCGAGAGCUUCGCCGUCGCCGUGGAGAACGAGGCGGACCAGGAGGAGUGGUACCAGGCCAUGGUGGAGCUGCAGUGCAAAAGUAAGAACCCCAUCGACAGCGGAGCUGCAGGGGACUAUGGGCUGCCUAAUCCUGGUCCUGCGUUCAAAGAGGUGUGGCAGGUCAAGGUGUGGCCCAAAGGUCUAGGUCAGGCCAAGAACUUGGUGGGCAUCUAUCGUCUUUGCCUGACUGACAAGACUGUCAACUUUGUCAAGCUCAACUCAGAUGCAGCUGCUGUUGUGCUGCAGCUGAUGAAUGUCCGGCGCUGCGGCCAUUCAGAAAACUUCUUUUUUGUUGAGGUGGGACGUUCUGCUGUGACAGGCCCAGGCGAGUUCUGGAUGCAGGUGGAUGAUUCAGUGGUGGCCCAGAACAUGCAUGAAACUUUGCUAGAGGCCAUGAAGGCACUGAGCGAGGAGUUCCGCCAAAGAAGCAAAUCUCAGUCAAACUCCGGCCCUGGAGGAGGCGCCACUGCUUCUAACCCCAUCAGUGUCCCCUCGCGUCGUCACCAUACAAACCCUCCUCCGAGCCAGGUAGGCUUUACCCGUCGGCCACGAACGGAGCCACCUGGAGGAGCUAGCGUUGGAUCAGGGGGCAGUAGUGCCAAUGCUUCUCCCACCCCACGCCAUAGCUUCCCAAGGUCUCGCACCGCCAGUGAUGGGGCAAAGGCAGAUGACGCAAUAGCAGGGACUACGCUGCUCCAAGGACGUAGCUCCAGCCCCUCCACCAAUGGCUCCUGUUCCACUACCCCAAUUCUUAGUUCAAAGUCAGUCCGUUCAGUAUCCACCACGGCUACUAAAAAUCCUCUGGGAUUAAUGCGGUCUAUCUCUACGCCAACACCUUACACUGCUCCAAGCCUCUGCUCUAGCUCUGGGCAUGGCUCUGAAUUUGGAGGUGAUACAUCUUCUAGUAGUGCUGGCCCAGGGUCUGGUGCCUAUAGUCAUGUUCCUUCUCAUCGCUCCUCUGUCUCAGGCUCACCCAGUGAUUAUGGAUCCUCAGAUGAGUAUGGCUCUAGUCCUGGGGAUCACACACUCCCUUCCCCGAGCCUCCCUGGAAGCUCUGUUGAUAGUGUUGGCAGCCAGUCUCUUGGGGAGGAAGGAGCAAACUAUAUUCUGAUGGGCCAACGUGGUGGGGGUGGUGGUAGCAGCAGUAAUCAAGGGAGUUUAACAUCCGGCACCUUGCCUUCACCAUCAACACCACUCGGUGGCUCCCAGCCCCCUUCGAGGAGAGUGCUGCGACGCUCCUCCAGCCGUGAUUGUGAAGCUGAACGUAGGCUACUGAGCAAGCGAGCUUCAUUACCGCCUAUGACCCUGGAGAGGCUGGCACCACGACAGCGGAGAGCUGAGGAGACGGCAAACGAAGACUCUACUGAUUAUGCCAUCAUGUCAAGAAGCACAAGUCGUGAAUCUUUCCAUUCCACCUCCUCUUCCACACAGAGGGAAUCAGUAGCAGGUCCUGGGUCAGGAGGCGGAGGAGGAGGGUACUUGGAUGUAGCAGAGGAAUUCAAAGGUGAAGGGGGUAGUGUAGCUGUUGGCACUGUAAAUUUGGGUGUGGACAAUGGGUACAUGUCUAUGCUGCCUGGUGUCACUCAGCCUCCAGUGUCUCUAUCCCAGUCAUUGGCCGUCUCUGUUCCAGACUCAGAUUCUAAAACUGCUGAUGAUUACAUGGCCAUGACCCCCAACAGCAGUGUGUCUCCUCCUCAGCAGAUCCGACCACCGACGUCUGACGGCUACAUGAUAAUGUCUCCUAAUAGCAGCUGCUCUCCUGACCAACGUGGAGGGCUCUCUGGAGGGGCCUGGCUGGGCAGUGGCAGCGCAGACAGCAGGGCAGGCAGUGACUAUAUGAACAUGUCGCCAAUCAGUGCACGUUCUGUAAAUGGCAGCCCCCCACCUCCUGAGCACAGUGGGCAUUUGGAGACUAGUUCUCAACAACAAGCUCCCAAAAUGGUGUAUUCUUAUUAUUCCCUUCCAAGAUCCUACAAACAUAAUGCGUCUCCUGGACACUUUGACGAUGGGCCCAGACGAGGCAGAAGGCCCAAUGGGAGUAGCAAUAGAGGAGCGGGUGGCGUUCGGACUACUGGAGAUCAUCAGGAACAAGCAGCAGCAGGGAAUUCAGUCGGUGGAUGCCACCUGUCACUCUCCUCCUCCUCUUACUCCUCCAGUUCAGCCAGUAGUGAAAGCCUUGGGGACAGUGAAGACCGAGCUGCCCAGACUGGGGUCACUAUGCCUGGAGGAACACCAAAGUCCAAAGAUGGGAAUAAGCUCCAGCAGAAAAGGGUUUCUAGCAGUUUGUCCAAGCAGGGUAACCAUACUAGGAACAGACCAGUGAGCCUGUUUGUUGAUGUAUCGAAGGCUAACACCCUUCCUAGGGUCCGCGAGAACCCCCUGCCCCCAGAACCUAAGAGCCCUGGAGAAUACGUAAGCAUCGAGUUUAAAGGAGAGAAGAUCAAUCAGACUGGGGUUGGAGGAGCACGUGGCAGGGGUCUCUGGCAUGGCUUAUCACUGCCUCAUGGUUCAAGCAGUCACCAUCCUCAACACAGGCCAAUGUCUUGCUUAGGAAACUUUAAUCCUAUCUCCCGAAGCCCUUCUGCCCCCAUUACCCCCCCGGCUGCCUCAGAGUAUGUCAACAUGGAUCUUGGGCCCUCUCCGUCCCCGUCCCCUCUUUCCCUCACCCCGCUAAUAUUCCCCCCUUUUCACACACCCCCUACACCUCCAACUCUUGCUCAUGCCCCUAAAACCUGUAAUGAGGAUUGUACUAGUCCUCAUGAAGAGGCUGUGAAAGUAGCUGAAGCCCCCGUUAGAAAAAACAGAGAAAGUGUUCCUUCAGUGACAGAGUCUGAGUCCCCUACAUCCUGUGGUGACUACACAGAGAUGGCAUUCAGCUUGAAUAACAACACUGCCCCUAGGCCAACCUCUAAUGUGUCCCCCAAAACCCCUUCCCCCACAAGGACUGUUUCAGUUCUAUCACGGGGUCUCGAUUUCCCCCUUGUCAAACCAGGACUCAACCUAGACCAUGGAGCUAAAGUUAUCCGGGCUGACCCCCAAGGACGCAGAAGACAUUGCUCAGAAACCUUCCUUGUCUCACCUUCCCUCCCCACUUCUACAUCCACUUCCUCUUCUUCCACCGCUUCGCUCUUUCCUGAACACGCCCAGACUGUGGCCCGUCGGCUUGGCUUUGAAAACAUGCUGUGGGGAAAUGGUGCUGUGUCGGAUACCCCAACUCAGUUACCUCUUUCUGGACAGCAGUCCCUUCCCACAAGCACUUCAUCUACAGAACAGGGCCUUAACUACAUUGACUUGGACUUGGCUAACAAAGAGGGCCCUCAUUCGGGUCUGGAUGGGCCUUCAGGUAGCCAGGCUCCAUCUCGGCUCUUCUCCGUGCUGGGUGGAGGUUCUGGGGUCGGGGGAGUUGGAGCAGCAGUUAGCAGCAGUAGCAGCAGCAACAAUACCAACAGCAGCAGCAGCAGCUCCAACCUUAACACCUACGCCAGCAUUGACUUCUACAAAUCAGAAGAGCUCCGGACGCAUCAGAACGCAAACAAAGAGGGAACAGUCUUUGUCCUCAUUUGACAUCUAGGCGCAUGGAUUUUUGAAAUUCCUUCCCUCCCUACUGUUCACUACACGUGCUAUUGUUCAAAACAAAGGUUUUUGUCAAAACCUCCCUUGUUUUUAUGCCUUUUGUCUUCCGCCCCUAUUCACGUUGUCACACUACGUGUUUUAAAUAUUUGUCCACGCGCUGCAAACAGAUUUUAGUAGACACGCUGUGCAUCCGACAGCAAUCAGACACAAAGAGACGAGACCAAAUGCGAGAAGCAGGAACCCAGAGAUGCUGCAUGACAACUAAUCCGUGCGUUACUACAAACAAGUACAGCACAGAAGUGAUUCAUUGUCGUGUGUGUGUGGGGGGGGGGGUAAGCGUGUGCUUUUUUAAAGAAUUGUGAUCUGCUCUAAUUACAGGGACUUUUCCCCUGAACAGGCACCAGCCUGUAUAGGAAAAGACUGUAUGUCUGAGGGGCGCGUACUUCUGGCACCCGGAGCCAGAGGCUAAAAUUGAACAUCAGUAGCAGAACAUGUGCCAAAAACAAUCCUUUUGGACAGUGGUUAUGUAAUAUGUAGAAACGGGCCCCUCAGGAUUUAGGCAAUUAGGGAAAAGUAGCCAUUUCACUCUAAGUGAUGUGUGUUAGGAACAAAAUGAGAUGGAGCUGAAUGUGCCACAGCAUCGGCGAUGUGGCACACGUUCUACGGCUGUGUGUCUGUAUAUGGAAAGUGUGAGCGUGUGUUGAUGCGUCUGCGUUUUAUGGGCGUCAAGUUCAGCCAGAGUGUAAGACUGAGACUGUGUGUGUGUGUGUGUGUGUGUGUGUGUGUGUGUGUGUGUGUGUGUGUGUGUGUGUGUGUGUGUGUGUGUGUGUGUGUGUGUGUGUGUGUGUGUGUGUGUGUGUGUGUGUGUGCCCACACAAUGCACAUCUAUCGUGACCUUCAAAGAUACUAUUUUAAAAAACACUUAUGUUUUUUUUUUGUUACAGCACUUUGUGCUUUGUCAUCUGCCAUCAUGUGAGAUGUCGAUAUUAUCAUCCGUAAUGAUAAGAGGGCUCCAAAAAGUUUAGUAACAAACAAACUGUAUGAGGUCUGAGUUGAUCAUUAAGUCAUAAAGUGAUUAGUGAGUUCAUGAUGUUUCCUCUGCACCCGACACACAGCUUGUCCUGCGUGUGUGUGAUCCAGGCCAGCGGGGUCACAGCAGAAGCACUAGUAGUGUUAUGUAAAACACGAGCAUGUGGAGGAGAGAGAGAGGUGCAUGUGUGCACGUACGUGUGUGUGUGUGUGUGUGUGUGUGUGUGUGUGUGUGUGUGUGUGUGUGUGUGUGUGUGUGUGUGUGUGUGUGUGUGUGUGUGUGUGUGUGUGUGUGUGUGUGUGUGUGUGUGUGUGUGUGUGUGUGUACAUGCACGUGUGCGUGCGCAUGCACUGGGCUGUUUAUUUGUUGUGCUGGGCCCGUUGUUUGUUUAUUUCCCUGUUUGUUUGUGUUGCUGGAGGCCGUCCCGGCUCCGGUCUUGCCCGUACAGUGAGUCACACACUGAUCUGUGUAAAAGCCCACAGAUGUGUCCCAGGAGGCAGAACAUGUGCACGAAACCAGAGGUCGGGAUUAAACUUCCAAAAUCCUGCGCGUCGCCGUUCUUUAAAAGAGUGCUGAUGUCGGUUGGCGAGAAUGAGUGGAACGACUCGGCUUCAGAAGCCGCCUGUUCCUCCUGCGACACCGUCACAUCAAGAAGGCAGCUGGAUCAGACACACCCUCGAAGCACUUUGACAGAGACUGAUGGAAGACGCUUCAAUUUUUUCCCCUCGUCGCUUUUAUCUCGCCGGUUGUGGAGACCGACCGGGACGUGUGCCAAAUGACAUUCUUGAAAAAUCUAUUUGCUGCUCUCAUUCCUUGAGUGAAAGCCGCCAACCAUCGAAGGGUACAAAAAUGGAGAAUGGUGUUUUUCUUCUUCUUUUAUUUUUUUUUUAUGCAAGUCAGAAACUCAAAUCUUACAGAGCAACAUUAAUGACUGACUAUUUCGUGUAUGAAAAAUCCUGAAGAAAAUGUAUAGAAAUAUGUACUUGCUCAAAAAGUGCCUCGUUUAGUGAUUGUAGCCAUUUUACAGAACUUCAACUGAGGUUAAUGAUUAUUUUUUGUGCUUGAUUUGAUGUAUGUAGUUAAGAGUGCAGCAGAAUAUAUUCAAAGGUGGGUAGCACUGGUGUAAGCUUGUGUUGCGUUCAUGUCAUAUAGGAUUGAAAACAGUAAAAGGUAAGAUUUCAAACCUGUUGCAUCUGUUUAUUUGGGUAGGUCAUGUUUGCAUGAUUUGUGCAAAAGAUAAAAAGAAAAGGUGUAAUUUAGCACCUUUCCCUAGAUUAUAACAACAUUUUUAAAAGUCAUUAAUCCAGUAUGAUGUGAACGCUGCAUUUUUGCUAACGUAAAUAAUAAUGGUACUAGCAAUCUGCUGGGCUUCCUGUCUACUGUGAGAAACGUUACCUUAGCUGCUGUUAGCUUCCUGCUCCUCGUAGCUUGUGUUGCUUUAAGUCUUCUGAUUCUUUUUUUUUUUCAAUCUAAAUAUUCUAUUAAAGCCAUUCACCAAAAUUAUUAAACGGGCUUCAGAUACAAAAGAAGCAGUUGUAGCGCAGGGACACCUUAGCUCGCUAGCUAGGAUAGACAUAGCAAACGUGUCUCCGGCUGCAGACACCUGAUGUAAAGCCAGGCAAUCCCAUUAGGGCUAUUAGCUUCAGACACUUGUGUCUGACUUAAUCCUCUUCCUGUUAGGAUGCUAAGGGAUGGGAUAGAGAUCCUAUCAAUAGCCAUGCUAAUGCUAACCCUGUCGCCGUCAGCAUCCUGCUUUAAGCACCAGACGGGGGGUCGUCAUUUUUCUGUUUUGUAAGUAUAAAUCUAACAAAACAACUAAAUAAUAUCAAAAACUUUAUACAUUAAUCUACCAAACAUUUUAAAGAAAGUGGUUUUACAUUUUUUAAGAGCUUGAAAUGAAAGUUCUUUGACACUAAAUCCUUCCUUGCGACUCCUUCCCUCUUUUCCGUCUCCGGCUCUCACGUUAAUCUCUGCUAUGCAUCAGCACUUAAGUGCCUGUCUGUCCGUUUGGUCUUUGUGUCUCAGCAGCUAGCGCUAAUCUGACCGUCCUAGCAGAGUCUAUCGAGCCUGUUGUGUGUGUAUUUGGUCUGGUGUGGCCGUACAGUUCUCUUAAAACGACUUGUUUGUGUUUGUCCGUGAUAAUGAGACGUGCUGACACUUGACUGACAGCCGAAGCCCCAGUCGGAGGCGUCGGGGACUGUCUGGCCUAAUAAUGCAGGACUGAUGCAUCGCAGGGCCGUCGGUGCCAAACAAGAAAGACUGAGCUGUCCUCAAGUGUGACAGCAACACAAGAAGCAACUCUCACCUCUCAAGUCUGGACAUUUUGCGUUGUUUUUACAUUAGGUUGUUUCCUCUUGCAGCGACGGGACGAACCGUGACAUAUCUCAACUGGCAGGCUGCUCGUGAGGCUCCGCGAUAGAAGGUCGUUGUGAAGACGUGCGUAUGCUUUAACCUUGAAGCUGCCUGUGACUUUGACCAGUGGAUGAACACAAAUGCACGAAGAGAAAGAAAAGGCCACGGAAAAGCAACAACUGAAACCUGAAAAUGCGUCUUUGUAGCUGUGUGUUGUGAUCAUGUGUCUGUCUGCGGCUGCCGUGAGGCGUUCAGGAGCCUCUUCUCGCUCUGGGCCCGUGACCGACUGGGGCGGAACAAUGACGAGCAGACCGACACCUGCACUCGGACGCCAACGCGCGAAUCCGAGUCGUUUGCUUCGAAGCAGGGCCGCAGUCAAACCCAUGACACUCAGUUGAAAUGUUUCUGAUGUACUUUGGAAAAUGUUCUCGUAUCAAAACUUUUCAGCAACAUAUUGAAGUUUUCAGCCAAAGCAAAAGCUUGAAGGUACCUGUAUUUUAGAGAGGAGAGCGCGCACUGAUCUGCUUUCAGCGUGGUUAUCCUGCCAUUUAAAGGUCGUUCGCCUGCCUAAUGUAAACCACAGCCAAAUACCACGAAUCCUCCGUCAGUUUCAGUGGCUGAAUGACUUCAUUUUUUGCAUUGUUGAUGUAAAGGUGUUUCCUAAAAGGCGCAGGAAAGCGUUGCUGCUGUCCUAAUUGGUUGAAUUUCUUCCACUGGGAAGUCCAAAAUGAAAAUAUUGUCUCAUUUACCUUUGAUGUAGACAGUUUUACGUCUGUUGUGUAGGAUAUCAAACGUUGCAGCAGUAGACGACCUAUUUUGAUCAUUAAACAGUUAAAAGCAAA